AAGAGAAGAGAAGGGAGAGAAAGUCACAUGGGAGUGGGUUUUCUUUUCCCAUCUAUCCCUUCUCUCUUUAUUUUCAUUCUUGUUCUCUCUUGUUCUUCCUGUCAUUUA
rnacentral:ribozyme from 13 species